GUCCCGCAGCCCCCGGGCUGUGUCAGACGAGCCUGGCCCCGGGGCUGCGCUCACCGCACACGGACCGUCCCGCAGCACCUCGGUGCCCUGGAGCCACAUCCCCGGGCUGCGGAUGACAGAGGGGACACGGGACAGAACUGUCUCCCCGCGCCCGAAGCGCUCUUGGCUCGCUGUGUGUCUCAGGGCAUGGAAGCGCGGAGCCCUUUGCUGGAGCAGCGCCCUGGUGGCCAGGGCUGGUCCGGCUUGCCGGGGUUUUGUGGUCCUGUGUGCCGAUAACAGCGACACGACAGGAGAAACCUCGGUGUGCCCGGCUUCGGAGAGCCCAGGGGAAGAUGCUCCCUGUGCCAAGUGGGACAAACGCAGCUUCCACUGCGAACUGUGGCUUAGGACCAAUUUAGGACAGAGUGAAUCUAAAAAAACCCAGCUUUAUUUUGAAUUUUAGAAGAGGUUUUUUGAAAGUGUUUUGAAAGUCGCAGAAGAGGAACAGUGACUUUUUAAUGAGUGACAUAAUGAUCAUACUGUCCCUCUGCCUUUAGGGAGGUGCUGAGGACACUGCAGAGUAAAAUGCACGAUUGUAAUGAUAUGUGGUAGUGGCCAGCAGUCUCACAUCAGAAACUGGCUUUGAUGCUUUUGCAGACAAGCAUUCGCUGUUCUGCUGAAGACGUCACAGCGCAAUGGAAAAACCCAGGCUUGCCUGGAAGGCUUUGCUGCCUAUUCACAUGUGGAGAGUUUCUUCAGGUGUGAGCGUUUGCUCUGGGUGCCUCUCCCUGCUCUCUGCAGCUCCAUAUUUUUUGCUCCAUUUAGCUAAGGAGGGCAAGGCUGUGACUUUGGUGACCAGCAGUGUUUGGAAUCGGAGAACAGGGCCCAAAAUAAUGGAAGUGGGUAUGUCCUUAUGGACAGUGUUUACCAGAGAGACCCAGUGGCCUGCUGAAAAAACAUGAAGGCAAAGUAGGCAGGUGACAGCGUUGCAAGGUGUGAUCAUCUCUACAACGAAGGGGAAGAGCUGCAGGGGUCUGCAACUUCAGAGCUACUGACAGACACAGGUGCAGCUUGACCCGGGGUUUGGAGUACCUGAGUCACAGUCCAGAAGUGGAGUAGUGAGAGGAACUCUGGAAGGAGCAAUGAUCUUGACCCUGGGAAUACACAGGUCGUGGAAGUAGAGCAGCCAGUGCAUGUCCAGGGGUGAGUACACACAGUGUGCAAAUGCCUGAAGAGAGGAGGCAUCUGGGCA